rnacentral:rRNA from 1 species
UGAGGAAUAUUGGUCAAUGGGCGAGAGCCUGAACCAGCCACGUCGCGUGAAGGAAGACUGACCUUACGGUUUGUAAACUUCUUUUGUAGAGGGGUAAUGGCAGAUACGUGUAUUUGCGUGAAAGUACUCUACGAAUAAGCAUCGGCUAACUCCGUGCCAGCAGCCGCGGUAAUACGGGGGAUGCGAGCGUUAUCCGGAAUUAUUGGGUUUAAAGGGUGCGCAGGUGGCUAAUCAGGUCAGUGGUGAAAAGCUAUGGCUCAACCAUGGUCUUGCCAUUGAAACCGUAUAGCUAGAGAGAAGACGAGGUAGGCAGAAUGUGUGGUGUAGCGGUGAAAUGCAUAGAUAUCACACAGAACUCCGAUUGCGAAGGCAGCUUACCAGGCUUUAUCUGACACUUAGGCACGACAGCGUGGGGAUCAAACAGG